ensembl:misc_RNA Metazoa_SRP Metazoan signal recognition particle RNA
GCCGGGUGUGGCGGCGCAUGCCUGUAGUCCCAGCUACUUGGGAGGCUGAGGCAGGAGAAUCGCUUGAACCCAGGAGGUGGAGGUUGCAGUGAGCCAAGAUCGUGCCACUGCACUCCAGCCUGAGCAACAAAGCGAGACUCUGACUCAA